rnacentral:rRNA from 1 species
UACCAGCUACCCGAGUGGUCGGGACGUUUAUUGGGCCUAAAGCGUCCGUAGCCGGUUCUACAAGUCUUCCGUUAAAUCCACCUGCUUAACAGAUGGGCUGCGGAAGAUACUAUAGAGCUAGGAGGCGGGAGAGGCAAGCGGUACUCGAUGGGUAGGGGUAAAAUCCGUUGAUCCAUUGAAGACCACCAGUGGCGAAGGCGGCUUGCCAGAACGCGCUCGACGGUGAGGGAUGAAAGCUGGGGGAGCAAACCGG